UGAAGACCUAAGGAUAUUGGGAAAACUUUCCAUUUUUAUGCUGAAGUACAGUGAAGAACAGACAACCAUGUAGAACUGUGCUUGGCUAAGAAGUUAUUCAUCUGCAGUCUUGAAAAAUGUUGGGAGUUGUGGGAAGCAAUAGCAAAGCACAUGAACAUGACUGAAAAUAUUUAUUAGUGAACAGAAGAUAACUUUUAAAAAUCAGGAAUUCAUCUUUACCGGGGGAAAGAAGAGGAGUGAACAUAAGAAGAGAUCAACAAGUUUAGAACUACAAGGGAAUGAGAAGCAGCAAGUUAAAUACAGAAUGGAAAUGAAGCUGUUAGACCAAAUUUUCAGCUUUUCACAUGGUAC